GCAUAUCAAUAAGCGGAGGAAAAGAAACCAACAGGGAUUGCCUCAGUAACGGCGAGUGAAGCGGCAACAGCUCAAAUUUGAAAUCUGGCCUCACGGUCCGAGUUGUAAUUUGUAGAGGAUGUUUCGAGCAUGGUCCGGCCUAAGUGUCUUGGAACAGGACGUCAUAGAGGGUGAGAACCCCGUAUGCGGUCGGGUGCCUACGCUCAUGUGAAACUCCUUCGACGAGUCGAGUUGUUUGGGAAUGCAGCUCAAAAUGGGUGGUAAAUUUCAUCUAAAGCUAAAUAUUGGCCAGAGACCGAUAGCGCACAAGUAGAGUGAUCGAAAGAUGAAAAGCACUUUGGAAAGAGAGUUAAACAGUACGUGAAAUUGUUGAAAGGGAAGCGCUUGCAACCAGACUUGGGCGCGGCCGAUCAUCCGGUGUUCUCACCGGUGCACUCGGUCGCGUGCAGGCCAGCAUCGGUUCUGGUGGCUGGAUAAAGGCCCUAGGAAUGUGGCUCCUCUCGGGGAGUGUUAUAGCCUAGGGUGCAAUGCAGCCUACCGGGACCGAGGACCGCGCUUCGGCUAGGAUGCUGGCGUAAUGGUUGUAAGUGACCCGUCUUGAAACACGGACCAAGGAGUCUAACAUCUAUGCGAGUGUUUGGGUGUCAAACCCAUACGCGUAAUGAAAGUGAACGGAGGUGAGAACCCUUAAGGGUGCAUCAUCGACCGAUCCUGAUGUCUUCGGAUGGAUUUGAGUAUGAGCAUAGCUGUUGGGACCCGAAAGAUGGUGAACUAUGCCUGACUAGGGUGAAGCCAGAGGAAACUCUGGUGGAGGCUCGCAGCGGUUCUGACGUGCAAAUCGAUCGUCAAAUUUGGGCAUAGGGGCGAAAGACUAAUCGAACCAUCUAGUAGCUGGUUCCUGC
rnacentral:rRNA from 1 species